UACGAAGGGGGCGAGCGUUGUUCGGAUUUACUGGGCGUAAAGGGCGCGCAGGCGGCUCAUUUUGUCAGGCGUGAAAGCCCCGGGCUUAACCUGGGACUGCGUUUGAUACGGAUGGGCUAGAGUUCGGGAGAGGAGAGUGGAAUUCCCAGUGUAGAGGUGAAAUUCGUAGAUAUUGGGAAGAACACCGGUGGCGAAGGCGGCUCACUGGCCCGAUACUGACGCUGAGGCACGAAAGCGUGGGGAGCAAACAGG
rnacentral:rRNA from 1 species